CCUACGGGAGGCAGCAGUGAGGAAUAUUGGUCAAUGGGCGAGAGCCUGAACCAGCCAAGUAGCGUGCAGGACGACGGCCCUAUGGGUUGUAAACUGCUUUUAUAAGGGAAUAAAGUGAGUCUCGUGAGACUUUUUGCAUGUACCUUAUGAAUAAGGACCGGCUAAUUCCGUGCCAGCAGCCGCGGUAAUACGGAAGGUCCGGGCGUUAUCCAGAUUUAUUGGGUUUAAAGGGAGCGUAGGCCGGAGAUUAAGCGUGUUGUGAAAUGUAGUGGCUCAACCUCUGCACUGCAGCGCGAACUGGUCUUCUUGAGUACGCACAACGUGGGCGGAAUUCGUGGUGUAGCGGUGAAAUGCUUAGAUAUCACGAAGAACUCCGAUUGCGAAGGCAGCUCACGGGAGCGCAACUGACGCUGAAGCUCGAAAGUGCGGGUAUCGAACAGGAUUAGAUACCCGAGUAGUC
rnacentral:rRNA from 1 species